rnacentral:tRNA from 1 species
AAUGGAAGUGCUGAUUAAAGGACUACCUGGAAAGGGUAAUAAGGUACCUCCAAUUUACCUCCAAUA